rnacentral:rRNA from 1 species
UACGGAGGGUGCAAGCGCUAGUCGGAAUUAUUGGGCGUAAAGGGUGCGUAGGCGGGAAUAUAAGUCAAAUGUGAAAUUCCGGGGCUCAACUUCGGGGCUGCAUUUGAAACUAUGUUUCUUGAGAGAUAACGGAGAAAACGGAAUUCCAUGUGUAGCGGUGAAAUGCGUAGAUAUAUGGAAGAACACCUGUGGCGAAAGCGGUUUUCUAGUUUGAUCUGACGCUGAGGCACGAAAGCAAGGGGAGCAAACAGG